GGGGAAUAUUGCACAAUGGGCGAAAGCCUGAUGCAGCGACGCCGCGUGCGGGAUGAAGGCCUUCGGGUUGUAAACCGCUUUUAAUUGGGAGCAAGCGAGAGUGAGUGUACCUUUUGAAUAAGCACCGGCUAACUACGUGCCAGCAGCCGCGGUAAUACGUAGGGUGCAAGCGUUAUCCGGAAUUAUUGGGCGUAAAGAGCUCGUAGGCGGUUUGUCACGCCUGGUGUGAAAGUCCAUCGCUUAACGGUGGAUCUGCGCCGGGUACGGGCAGGCUAGAGUGCAGUAGGGGAGAUUGGAAUUCCCGGUGUAACGGUGGAAUGUGUAGAUAUCGGGAAGAACACCAAUGGCGAAGGCAGAUCUCUGGGCUGUUACUGACGCUGAGGAGCGAAAGCAUGGGGAGCGAACAGGAUUAGAUACCCUGGUAGUCCAUGCCGUAAAACGGUGGAUGCUGGAUGUGGGACCCUUCCACGGGUUCCGUGUCGGAGCUAACGCGUUAAGCAUCCCGCC
rnacentral:rRNA from 1 species